ACGAAUCUCCCAUGCCGUCAACUAAUCCCACAUUUAAUACAAGGAGUAAAUCUCGCCUGCAGACCAUCGUAACAACCUCAACACGUCAUGGGCGAGUAAAUCUCUCUUAUCUGACCCAUUCACCCCACACCAUCUCGAAUUCCAUGGGCAAGCUCAUCCCUAAGCUCGGCCACCGCGACGGCUAGAUCCGCCGCCAUCCUCCUCAGCACCAAAAACUAGCUACUGCUACUGCUGAUCCACCUCCCCGGUGCGCCGUCCCGCGGCUACUGCUGAUCCACCUCGCCGGUGCACCGUCCCGUCGCUGCUCUGUCAUUCCCUGAUUUGAACCACCUUUGCCGCCCCGGUCCCCUACCAGGCCUGCCCCGUCGCCAUCGCUCCCACCUCGUUGGCGCGUCGUAUUGGUUCGGCAAAGAAGCCCCGUGCGAAUCCCAACCCCUCCAUCCGGCGCGCGCAUGUACUCAUCCUCGACCUCGGGUUAGAUUCAUUUCAUCUUUGAUUUCACCCGUGUUUUGAUUUGCAUUACUACUUUGGUUGCAAUGCUUGCUUCGAUUAAAUUUGUUGAGUGUACCCAUGUUAUACCCGAUGCUUGGAGAACUCUCGUUCAAGAUCAAGGUUGGGAAAAUCUUCUAAAUAUAGGCUCCAUCUCAACUCUCAAUGGUCUCGUUGAAUGGUUAAUAUACAAGACUGAUCUGGAGGUUAUAGGGAUGUGGUGCUCACAACCAAGCACGAACAAUCACCACACCGAGAUUUCUAUGCAAUUGUUUGAAGCAUUGUAGUUGUAGAGUUAUUCUAUGUCUCUCUUGGAUUUGUCGUCGCAUGGUUAUGUACUAUGAUUGCAGGAAGCACAUAAGAAGUUAGUAAGAAGCAACACACACCUUGAGGAAACACGUCAGAAGUUAAAAAGAAACAUCAUUUCUGUCCACAUGGCGACAGUGCAAGGGACUGGGUCCUCACAUUUUGCUUGCAAUUUGUG